rnacentral:snoRNA from 1 species
AUCAUAUGAUUUGGGCAUUUUUUCAUCAACUCUUUAAAUCUGUUCCAUGCCUCGUGGUAGCUUCCCCAUCUCUCUAUUAAAGGUUUGAAUUUUUAGUUUGAUUUU